rnacentral:tmRNA from 1 species
GGGGGCGACAGGCUUCGACAGGGGCUUGUAUAGAUCUUUGGAUGCACGUCGGGCUUUUUGUAGGUGAGCCCGUUAACAAAACUUGCAAAACACAAAUGCUAAUCAAGAAUUAGCUCUUGCUGCUUAGUUUAAUUACUAACCACAAGUGUCUUACCGGAAGUCAGCUUAGAGCGACCGGAUAAGGCAUAACCCAGUCAAAGCUAGGGCACGUUCACCGCCUGCGGACGUGUCUGAAAUGUUAGUCAGGCUGGUUUUCGACAAGGUUCGCCCGAUUGCUUACUUGUCGAAAAUGAGAACCGAGCAAACGGGCUAAACGUGUAGAUUUCACUGGUCGCAACCUUUGGAUGCGGGUUCGAUUCCCGCCGCCUCCACCA